rnacentral:rRNA from 1 species
CCUACGGGAGGCAGCAGUGGGGAAUAUUGCACAAUGGGCGAAAGCCUGAUGCAGCAACGCCGCGUGAGCGAUGAAGGUCUUCGGGUCGUAAAGCUCUGUCCUCAAGGAAGAUAAUGACGGUACCUGACUAAGAAGCACCGGCUAAAUACGUGCCAGCAGCCGCGGUAAUACGUAUGGUGCAAGCGUUAUCCGGAUUUACUGGGUGUAAAGGGAGCGCAGGCGGCGCGUUAAGCCUGGUGUGAAAGCCCGCGGCCCAACCGCGGGACUGCAUUGGGAACUGGCGCGCUGGAGUGCCGGAGGGGUAGGCGGAAUUCCUAGUGUAGCGGUGAAAUGCGUAGAUAUUAGGAGGAACACCAGUGGCGAAGGCGGCCUACUGGACGGUGACUGACGCUGAGGCUCGAAAGCGUGGGGAGCAAACAGGAUUAGAUACCCGAGUAGUC